rnacentral:rRNA from 1 species
AGUGAACGCUGGCGGUAGGCCUAACACAUGCAAGUCGAACGGCAGCACAGUAAGAGCUUGCUCUUACGGGUGGCGAGUGGCGGACGGGUGAGGAAUACAUCGGAAUCUACUUUUUCGUGGGGGAUAACGUAGGGAAACUUACGCUAAUACCGCAUACGACCUACGGGUGAAAGCAGGGGAUCUUCGGACCUUGCGCGAUUGAAUGAGCCGAUGUCGGAUUAGCUAGUUGGCGGGGUAAAGGCCCACCAAGGCGACGAUCCGUAGCUGGUCUGAGAGGAUGAUCAGCCACACUGGAACUGAGACACGGUCCAGACUCCUACGGGAGGCAGCAGUGGGGAAUAUUGGACAAUGGGCGUAAGCCUGAUCCAGCCAUACCGUGUGGGUGAAGAAGGCCUUCGGGUUGUAAAGCCCUUUUGUUGGGAAAGAAAAGCAGCAGGUUAAUACCCCGCUGUUCUGACGGUACCCAAAGAAUAAGCACCGGCUAACUUCGUG